AUCAUACUAUUGUGCCAGAACAGAGGACUUUCUUAUAUUCAGCAGUGGUAUUACACUCAUGGGAACAGGGAAUACUCAGAUUCCUUGCAAUCACACCGGUAUAGAACAGCAGCUAUAUGAAGAGGAUGCUUUAAGAUCAUGGUUUUCCCCUUUCUUAAUAUCCUGUCUACUCAACUGUGUUCUCCUUAUUAUACUCUUAGUUGCUGCUAAGAAAUGUUUCACUCAGAAGAAAUGGAAUAUGGGUGUUGAGCAGCUUCAUCAGUCCGAUUCCUCUAUGAGUUCGGAAAUAACCCUGUCCACUCCACUCAGAGACAUGGACAGCACUUGUGUGCAAUAUUCAACCCCAUGCUAGGUCUGAGACUGCACAUUUCAAUACAAGCAACAUGCAUGCCAGCAAUAGGAUACAUGGAACUGUGGAAUGUCCUAGACAUGAUGCAAUGCCAUGUUCAUAAUAGUAACUAUCAUAAUAGGUAUCAUGGUGAAUAAUUUUUAACAUGUCAAGGUUACACUUUAUUGUAUAAAGUGUAAGAGAGUGAAAAAUGUUAACAGCAUGUUGACUUAGUGGUUCCCGCAUUGUAAGUAAUCUGCAUACUAUUAUCUGUUGAUUAACAGUGAAAAAAGGGCAAGCGUUGUCAUGUGCUGUAAGUAUUGCGUAAUGCGCAUAUAUUUGGUCUGGACUUCACCUGAAAAAAUGUGCUAUAAAGUUAGCUUUAGACUUUGCUCGGCAUUUAAAUAAUGGGCCUGUAUGUUUUCAAUAGGAACUUCCCCCUUCCUCAGUUGGCAACUAUAAGUGUUUGGGGCAGUUUCUUCAGUGUCUUUGCUACAGGGCCGUGUCUUUCACUUUCCCCUGCGGAUGGUUUAUGUGGCGUUUGAAAUCAGUGUGCAUUUCAAUACAUUUCAUUUAUUGUAUGUAGGCCGAUUUGAGAUGGAACAUAGCCUACAACUCUGUUUCCAAAAAAGUCAUGUGUCAUCCAAAGUUACACGUCAACAACAACAAAACAAAAACAUAAUACUGUAAUUCUAGAUCAUAACCAAACUUGAUACACAUAAGCACCAUCACAUCCCUUGGACACACACCAUG